rnacentral:sRNA from 1 species
GCUGGGCGUGGUGAUGCACGCCUGUAAUCCCAGUGGCUUGGAAGGCUGAGGCAGGAGGAUCCUCAGUAUAUAGCCAGCCUCAGCAACUUAGCAAGGCCCUAAGUAACUCAGCAAGACCCUGUCUCUA